ensembl:lncRNA
UUGGUGACAGGGCCAGAAGGAGAGAAAGAAGAGUGGAGGAAAAGCUAAAGAGCUGUAAGACUCACGCAUCAGCUGGAUGACUUCUCUGAUAAAAUAUUUAGACAUCUGUUCAGAGAGAUCACAACCUCACCUUCCAAAGAAAAUGUCUCCCAGGAAAAGAAAUGCUCACUGCCUGCCUCUGUGAGGGGAUCCUUCAUGCCCAGGGUUUGUGGCAGCCCCAGCCUCUCUGUGACGGCUGUCUUGGGAUCUGCACUUCAUGGACCACUAUGACAAAUAAUUAUUGGACCAAACUUGUCAAAUCAGCUUCUGCACUUACACCUAGAUGUACUGGAGUGGAGGUUUUCACAGGAUGACCAUCUAACCUUGCUUCCAUCUGAUCCCCAGCGAGCUUGAUCACCAGCUUCAGUAUCAAUAGGAGAUGAGCCCUACAUGCUCCUCUGGGUUUCAUGUCAGACAUCAGUGUCCUCUAAUUGCAAUUCACUGCUGUGUAUACUUCAGAGGCUGAUAAGUAAUGAGGGAGAGAAGAUGUCUGACACGGAUGCCCUUGAAAUAAGCUAUUCUAACGAUAUCAUGUUGGGAUCAAGAGAAGCACAUUAUCCUGAAGUUUGUGUGAAUGAACUGGGGUUAUUUGGCAGCUCUGUAACUCAUUCAGCUUUUUUAUCCUCAGAGUGAAACACCAAGCCCAUUCAUUAUAGUUGGCUCCAGGGCUCCUGGGAGCCACACUGAAAGCUCUCCAUCUUCAGCACAGACAGCUAAUCUGGACAAAUCAUUUCAAACAGUUUAAGAAACCAUCUGACCUUCCCUCCCCCCAAGGAAAAUAACUGAAGGUCAGAGGGACAUCUUGGUGUGUAUCUGUGGAGAAUAUAAAUUGAGUUGUUUAUUCCUUCUCUCUGGAGCCUGUGCAAGGUUCAAAUUCAGUUUAUAAGCUUAUCACCAACAUUCAUUUUAUACAGUACCUUAAACAUAAACUCCCACUCAGUCCGAUCAAAGCUUUUCCAGCGUGAAGCAGUUGAGCCACAAUCGGUUCCCUUGUUCAGCUAGCCAAGUCAAUGUUCUUAAUCAGUAUAAAAACAUGAGGAGUCAAAUGGUGGUUUUUAAUAAAAUGGGUUUGAUCCGCUU